rnacentral:misc_RNA from 1 species
UUAACUAUUAAAAUAGUACUUCAGACAAUAAAUGAUUCAGAGUGUUGGUUCUCUGGCAGGCACUAACUAGCCAAGGCCAGUAGCACAAGAGGCAGGCCUGCCAAAGCAACAAAGUAUGUAAACAUUGGGUGGGAGAUCUACCCCUAAGGGCAAGUUCUCAGUAAUGAUCCUUCCGCAGGUUCACCUACGGAAA